GAUGAACGCUGGCGGCGUGCCUAAUACAUGCAAGUCGAGCGAACAGACGAGGAGCUUGCUCCUCUGACGUUAGCGGCGGACGGGUGAGUAACACGUGGAUAACCUACCUAUAAUACUGGGAUAACUUCGGGAAACCGGAGCUAAUACCGGAUAAUAUAUUGAACCGCAUGGUUCAUUAGUGAAAGACGGUUUUGCUGUCACUUAUAGAUGGAUCUGCGCCGCAUUAGCUAGUUGGUAAGGUAACGGCUUACCAAGGCAACGAUGCGUAGCCGACCUGAGAGGGUGAUCGGCCACACUGGAGCUGAGACACGGUCCAGACUCCUACGGGAGGCAGCAGUAGGGAAUCUUCCGCAAUGGGCGAAAGCCUGACGGAGCAACGCCGCGUGAGUGAUGAAGGUCUUCGGAUCGUAAAACUCUGUUAUUAGGGAAGAACAAAUGUGUAAGUAACUAUGCACGUCUUGACGGUACCUAAUCAGAAAGCCACGGCUAACUACGUG
rnacentral:rRNA from 1 species